UACGGAGGAUGCGAGCGUUAUCCGGAUUUAUUGGGUUUAAAGGGUGCGUAGGCGGCGAGUUAAGUCAGCGGUAACAGCCCGGGGCUCAACCCCGGCCCGCCGUUGAAACUGGCUGGCUUGAGUUGGGGAAAGGCAGGCGGAAUGCGCGGUGUAGCGGUGAAAUGCAUAGAUAUCGCGCAGAACCCCGAUUGCGAAGGCAGCAUACCGGCGCGCAACUGACGCUGAGGCUCGAAAGCAUGGGUAGCGAACAGG
rnacentral:rRNA from 1 species